rnacentral:rRNA from 1 species
AGUUCGGACUGUAGGCUGCAACUCGCCUACACGAAGUCGGAAUCGCUAGUAAUCGCGGAUCAGCAUGCCGCGGUGAAUACGUUCCCGGCCUUGUACACACCGCCCGUCACACCAUGGGAGUUUGUAACGCCCAAAGUCGGUGGCCUAACCUUUAUGGAGGGAGCCGCCUAAGGCGGGACAGAUGACUGGGGUGAAGUCGUAACAAGGUACC